rnacentral:rRNA from 1 species
UGGGGAAUAUUGCACAAUGGGGGAAACCCGUAGAUGCAGCGACGCCGCGUGAGUGAAGAAGUAUUUCGGUAUGUAAAGCUCUAUCAGCAGGGAAGAAAAUGACGGUACCUGACUAAGAAGCCCCGGCUAACUACGUGCCAGCAGCCGCGGUAAUACGUAGGGGGCAAGCGUUAUCCGGAUUUACUGGGUGUAAAGGGAGCGUAGACGGCAAAGCAAGUCCGAUGUGAAAUUCCGGGGCUCAACUCCGGACCUGCAUUGGAAACUGUUUAGCUAGAGUAUCGGAGAGGUAAGUGGAAUUCCUAGUGUAGCGGUGAAAUGCGUAGAUAUUAGGAGGAACACCAGUGGCGAAGGCGGCUUACUGGACGAUAACUGACGUUGAGGCUCGAAAGCGUGGGGAGC